ensembl:lncRNA
AUCAGUCAGCUCAUCCCUCCUGGAGAGAGGAUGGCCAAGGGUUGAGCUGGUGGAAGAAGCAUUGGCCUGUACUCUGCUGUGGAUGUAGCUUCCCACUCCGCCCUCACAAACCACCCAGUGGAGAAGGAGCUAUUGCCAAGAUUGACUGGAAUGACAUGCUCUGCAGACAGUGUAAACAUGCACAGCUUUUCGGACCUGGGAGGACACUGAGGAGGAUCAGCACAGUCUGAACUCAGGUGGCAUGGGGGUGAGUAUAAGUGGGCCUUUCUCAGGGCUUCAGGACCCCAUACCUUAGCUCAAG